UCGAGGGGCAGCGGAGGCGAGUGCUUGCACUUGCCAGACGGCGACCGGCGCACGGGUGAGUAACACGUAUGCGACCUGCCCGUAGCAGGGGGAUAAGCGGAAGAAAUUCCGUCUAAUACCGCGUAAUAUCUUUCGGGGGCAUCCCUGAGGGAUUAAAGGAAGCGAUUCCGGCUACGGAUGGGCAUGCGGCGCAUUAGCUAGUCGGCGGGGUAACGGCCCACCGAGGCGACGAUGCGUAGGGGUUCUGAGAGGAAGGUCCCCCACACUGGUACUGAGACACGGACCAGACUCCUACGGGAGGCAGCAGUGAGGAAUAUUGGUCAAUGGGCGAGAGCCUGAACCAGCCAAGUCGCGUGAGGGAAGACGGUCCUAUGGAUUGUAAACCUCUUUUGUCGGGGAGCAAAAAGGCCUCGUGAGGCCACAAGCGAGAGUACCCGAAGAAAAAGCAUCGGCUAACUCCGUGCCAGCAGCCGCGGUAAUACGGAGGAUGCGAGCGUUAUCCGGAUUUAUUGGGUUUAAAGGGUGCGUAGGCGGACUGGAAAGUCAGCGGUAAAAUCGAGAGGCUCAACCUCUUUCCGCCGUUGAAACUGUCGGUCUUGAGUGGGCGAGAAGUAUGCGGAAAGGCGUGGUGUAGCGGUGAAAUGCAUAGAUAUCACGCAGAACUCCGAUUGCGAAGGCAGCAUACCGGCGCCCAACUGACGCUGAGGCACGAAAGCGUGGGUAUCGAACAGGAUUAGAUACCCUGGUAGUCCACGCAGUAAACGAUGAAUACUAAUUGUCCGGUCAGAAUGAUGACUGGGUGAUACAGCGAAAGCGUUAAGUAUUCCACCUGGGGAGUACGCCGGCAACGGUGAAACUCAAAGGAAUUGACGGGGGCCCGCACAAGCGGAGGAACAUGUGGUUUAAUUCGAUGAUACGCGAGGAACCUUACCCGGGCUCAAACGUAGAAUGACAGACGGUGAAAGCCGUUCUCCCUUCGGGGCAGUCUACGAGGUGCUGCAUGGUUGUCGUCAGCUCGUGCCGUGAGGUGUCGGCUUAAGUGCCAUAACGAGCGCAACCCCCAUCUACAGUUGCUAACAGGUAAAGCUGAGGACUCUGUGGAGACUGCCGGCGCAAGCUGUGAGGAAGGCGGGGAUGACGUCAAAUCAGCACGGCCCUUACGUCCGGGGCGACACACGUGUUACAAUGGCAGGUACAGCGGGAAGCCAUAUGGCGACAUAGAGCGGAACCCGAAAACCUGUCUCAGUUCGGAUUGGAGUCUGCAACUCGACUCCAUGAAGCUGGAUUCGCUAGUAA
rnacentral:rRNA from 1 species